UACAGAGACUGCAAGCGUUAUUCGGAUUCACUGGGCGUAAAGGGUGCGCAGGCGGUCGUGUGUGUCAGAUGUGAAAUCCCGGAGCUUAACUCCGGAACUGCGUCUGAAACUACAUGACUAGAGCAUUGGAGAGGGAAGUGGAAUUCAUGGUGUAGCAGUGAAAUGCGUAGAUAUCUGGAGGAAUACCGGUGGCGAAGGCGGCAUCCUGGACCGACAUUGACGCUGACGAGCGAAAGCUAGGGGAGCAAACGGG
rnacentral:rRNA from 1 species